UGCGGCUGGAUCCCCUCCUUUCUAGGGAGAAACCUUAGACAUGCGAAUGCAGAUUCGCAAACCAAGUGAGAGUUGUCAAUCUCUCACGCCACAUGCGUUCUUUUGAUCUUUUCUUUCCACUCUUCCGUUGUUAAGACAAAAAAAUUAUCGAACACAGUACCUUACCAACUAAAGAGAGCGUGCGAUGGCUCACUCAGGAGACCAUUGCAUGCACAAAGUGAAUGGUAAUCUUUAACACGAGGCGGCGUGGCGUGCAGCGUUAUGCGUUGUGCGACAUGCCGAACUGCUGGAUUGAAGGUCAGGCACGAGAGGGUGAUGUGGAGGUGUGAACAACACCAACCUCACGUCUCGAUGCGCUUGACCACAGAGCAAUCCCGAGAAUAAGAUAUUAAGGGCACAGGGUGGAUGCCUUGGCGCCAAGAGCCGAAGAAGGACGCGGUAGACUGCGAAAAGUCACGGGGAGUCGUCUGCAGACAUUAUAUCCGUGAAUUUCCGAAUGGGGAAACCCGG
rnacentral:misc_RNA from 1 species